rnacentral:misc_RNA from 1 species
GAACUGCGAUACGUAAUGUGACUUGCAGAAUCUCGUGAAUCAUCAAAUCUUUGAACGCAAAUGGCGCUCCCGGGCAUCCCUGGGAGCACGCCUGUCUGAGUAUCAUUGCCCUCACCCUCUGCGGCGGCGGCUCCGUUUGCCGGCGCAGGGUAUGGCGGCCACGCCCGUCACACGGCGCGCCCGCUCAAACGCGGCUUUUUAUUAUUAUUUGGUGGGAGAGAACCCCGCCGCGCCCCCCCCCAAGCCACGCUGUAAGCAUCGCGCUCCUCGCGGCUCGGGCGCGCGCCCCCGGGGCCCAAUCUUCUCCCCCCAGAACCCAACCACAUGAUCUCAGAUCAGGCGAGAGGACCCGCUGAACUUAA